rnacentral:rRNA from 1 species
UACAGAGGUGCUCAAGCGUUGAUUCGGAUUCAUUGGGCGUAAAAGGGGUGCGUAGGCGGCGCGGUAAGUCGGGUGUGAAAAUCUUCGGAGGCUUAACUACCCGAAACUGCAUUCGUAUAACUGCCGUGCUUGAGGACUGGAGAGGAAGACUGGUCAAUUUACGGUGAGCGGUAGAAAUGCGUAGAUAUCGUAAAGGAAGACCAGUGGCGGAAGGCGGGUC